UCCCUGGUGGUCCAGUGGCUAAGACUCCAUGCUUCCAAUGCAGGGGGUCUGGGUUCAAUCCCUGGUCAGGGAA
rnacentral:tRNA from 1 species